UUUUAUUAUAACCAUAUUGAAUGGGGUCGCUUUGCCAAAAGGAGAAAUCAUUUCUUAAAUCAGUAUGAGUUAUAGCAUAAAGAUGGAUGAGAAAAAAGCGAUAGGGCAUACAUGGCGUCACUGAAUAUUCCAUCAAUCAAAUGAAUUGUGCCACUGUGAGAAAAACUACUAUGACAGCUUUUACAUCAAAGUGGUCUCAAGCCUGUUUAUACGAACUUUAUAUAUCUUUUUAACAGUAUAAAAAGAGAGCUUUAGUAAGUAACACUGAGAAAGCAGUCUGGCCUUUGAGAAGGAAGCCUGGCUUGCCAGGUGCCAUCCUCAAUGUAUCCGGCCUCUUCUCUCUGCUCCACAGCCUCCCCAGUGCCCCUCCUCCAGACACACAGGGCAGGGGCCAGGGGCCAGGUGUGUGUCCGCAGGAAAGGAGGGAUGGAAUUGGUUGGAGCCGCCACAGAACGGCCACUCUAUGUGGGGACCUAAGUCCUCCGUACACACUCCUGUUCUAUAAUGAACCCUUGGAGCAGUUCCUUAAAAAAAUAAAAUAAAAACAAAAAUAAUGUGCAUCAACUCUGACUCACAGGUUAUUCUUAGGAGGCCAGCAUGACUGCCACAGAGUUUGAUAUUUGUUCAGCAUCUCUGACAAAGUAGAGGAGGCAUUCCUGUUGAGAGCGGGCAACUAACCCCCAACUCCCUGAAGCAGCUUCCUUAGCAACCCCAGGGCUGACAGCACAAGAGUCAACUGGUCAUCUGCAGGCAAGGCAAAUCACAGGGAGGUCCUGGUUUAUUUUUAGAGUCACAUUCUUUCUGCAGUGAUAUUAUUUCUUUCCGGAUUGCAGUUACCUCUGAACAUUAGCAGGAGGUCAGCUUUGGAAGAGUAAUCCAGUGUAACUAAAUGUUUAAUGUGUUAUCUGACCCUGUGGCAUACACUCAAGGAGGUGGUGAGCUUGCUGGGGGCCACAG
rnacentral:lncRNA from 10 species